rnacentral:rRNA from 1 species
UACGGGGGGAGCAAGCGUUGUUCGGAUUUACUGGGCGUAAAGGGCGCGUAGGCGGCCACCGCAAGUCGACUGUGAAAUCCCCGGGCUCAACCCGGGAACUGCGUCCGAUACUGGAAGGCUUGAAUCCGGGAGAGGGAUGCGGAAUUCCAGGUGUAGCGGUGAAAUUCGUAGAUAUUCGGAAGAACACCAGUGGCGAAGGCGACCUACUGGACACAUAUUGACGCUGAGGUGCGAAAGCGUGGGGAGCAAACAGG